GACGAACGCUGGCGGCGUGCCUAACACAUGCAAGUCGAACGGAGAAGUUCAGCAAUGGAUUUCUUAGUGGCGAACGGGUGAGUAACGCGUAGACAACCUGCCUCUAAGCUGGGGACAACAACUCGAAAGGGUUGCUAAUACCGAAUGUGAACAGUGCCUCGCAUGAGAUGCUGUUUGAAGGUGGCCUCUGAAUAUGCUACCGCUUAGAGAUGGGUCUGCGUCUGAUUAGCUAGUUGGCGGGGUAAUGGCCCACCAAGGCGACGAUCAGUAGCCGGUCUGAGAGGAUGAAGGGCCCCACUGGGACUGAGACACGGCCAAGACUCCUACGGGAGGCAGCAGUGGGGAAUCUUCCGCAAUGGACGAAAGUCUGACGGAGCAACGCCGCGUGAGUGAAGAAGGCCCUCGGGUCGUAAAGCUCUGUCUUCAGGGACGAAUGUGCAGAUUGUGAAUAAUGGUUUGUAAUGACGGUACCUGAGGAGGAAGCCACGGCUAACUACGUGCCAGCCGCCGCAGUAA
rnacentral:rRNA from 1 species